UAUAAAAGCACAACCGCUGCUGCAGCCUCCAUUGUGAUCUACAAAUCUACAGGCAUAAUGGUUUCCAACGCUAUGACCGCGUCCUUCUUGAUCGCGUUCCCGGUCAGGUUUUGGGUGGUUCUAUCGCUUCCUCAGCCCUCCAAUUUCCCGGACGGUCAAAAUCAUCCCACCCACAGUAUCUUUGCCGUAGCCUCGCGGCGGAGCAUCCAAAGACCAGGAUCUAUCGCUUGCCGAUGCUCGCAAAGUCCAGCCCCGCGCUCUUGGCCCCUGCUACUUUAUUAAUUUUGCUUUGAUAGAUUAUCCCAUAUUGUUAAGAGGCAUAUAGUUGCUUAGCCCACGAGUCAUACCUUGAUUGAGUUGAACGGAAAGUGCGCUACUCAUCCAAUCCACUCCGAUGCACCAAAGCCGGCUCUCCAAGCUCCUCAAAUCAGAAAAAAAAAUGGGAGUACCGUUCAAUAACGGCUGGUUCGCUCUGAGGGGCAAUUGCAUCAAAAAUUGUGUACGGUGGAGAUUGACGCGAAGGCAAAAACAGGCAAGGCGGCGGCGGGGGCUGCCGGAAGCGAGGGUCGGGCGCAGCUGCCGAUGCAAGGCCAGGAACCGGUGGCUUGGGAGAAGCAUAGGGUCUGCACGACCCAUCGGGCUUUGGAAGCAGAGAUGGAAAACCUCCGGCAGAUGUUUAUGGCCGUACUCGAGUUGCCAGAGGAGCCAAUAGAAGCAUCGCGAAGGGAGUAGGACAGCCUAGCUGUGGUGGUCCGAAGCUUCGGUCGGCGAGUGCUGGCGGACUAGGUGGCCAAGGACUUGGAGGCCCGAGGAAAAAUGAAAGUGGAGAUGGUGCUUGUGCCUCUCGUCGACGACCACCUCACUCUAAGGUUUAGAUCAACGACGGAUCGGGACCGAGCCCUCACCGGAGGUCCGUGGGAGGUAGCGGGCUAGCUUCUGGCCAUGGAGCCAUAGGUGCCCAACUUCGUACAGGGGUUGGAUGCCAUAGAAACGGUAUUGGUGUGGAUCUGGUUCCCCCGGCUGCCGUGAAGACGUCAUAAAUUCUGUAGUGUAUAAAUUUUCAACAAAAAUUAUUUUCGUUGUUAAUUAUCUAAUUAACUAUUAACAAUGAUAAUAUUUCAAAGUUAAACAUAGUGUUUUUUGAUAACAUAUAUAUUUUUAUUACAGAAUACUAAUUAUUUAACGAUGAAUUAGAUUUUAUCACCUAUAUAUCCUUGUAUAACUUUUAUGAUGCAAUAGUUUUCAUUGCAAAUCAUUCAUAUACUAAUUAAUAGGCGAUGUAUAACAUUACAUGCGCGAGGACUUCCUGGGUACAAAUUAAGGAGAGUGGGUCAAACACGAUAGGUAGGUACAGCCAUCCGAGCUAUAAUUUUCUUGGCAUGAGCGAAGACUUCUUUGCUGCAUGGAGAGCUGGUCAAACACGAUUGGUUGGUGCAGCGGUCCCACCUACGAUUGUCCGACCAAUGAAAAUGUGAGACGCGGGCCUCCUGCAUGAAAUUCUGUAAUCAGGUUAAAGAUUCGUUCCUUCCUCUGUGGGAAAAACGUCGUCAUCAGGCUGAAUGUAUCUGUGUGCUUAUUAGUCCCAUCCUUGUCGAAGUCCAAUAUGGCUAAAGAUUCGUUCCUUGCCCUUCGGUGCCAUAAUUCCAGUAACCUCUUCCUUGCUUGUCUUCAUUUUCGACGAGCGGUGAAAAUGGUUCGGCGCGCAGCUUCUAGCACACCAUCAACGGCAUCAUGUGCGCUCUCGAUGUCAUGCACCACCUCGUGGAAGCAGAAGCACCCACAAGCCCUAGUGCGGCUUCGGCUGUUUCUAAUAGGGCUGUCAACGGGCCGAGCUACUCGGGCUCGGCUCGGUAAAAGCCCGGCUCGAGUCGGCUCGU